GGUUGAUCCUGCCGGACCCGACUGCUAUCAGAGUGGGACUAAGCCAUGCGAGUCAACGUAGCAAUGCGUGGCGAACGGCUCAGUAACACGUAGUCAACAUGCCCAGGGGACGUGGAUAACCUCGGGAAACUGAGAUUAAACCGCGAUAGGUCAAGAUUUCUGGAAUGGAUCCUGGCUUAAAUCUACAUGGCCCCUGGAUUGGACUGCGGCCGAUCAGGCUGUUGGUGAGGUAAUGGCCCACCAAACCUAUAACCGGUACGGGCUCUGAGAGGAGAAGCCCGGAGAUGGGCACUGAGACAAGGGCCCAGGCCCUAUGGGGCGCAGCAGGCGCGAAAACUCUGCAAUGGGCGAAAGCCUGACAGGGUUACUCUGAGUGAUUUCCGCUAAGGAGAUCUUUUGGCAGCUCUAAAAAUGGUGCAGAAUAAGGGGUGGGCAAGUCUGGUGUCAGCCGCCGCGGUAAUACCAGCACCCCGAGUGGUCGGGACGAUUAUUGGGCCUAAAGCAUCCGUAGCCGGUUGUGCAAGUCCUCCGUUAAAUCCAGCCGCUCAACGGAUGGGCUGCGGAGGAUACUACAGAACUAGGAGGCGGGAGAGGCAAGCGGUACUUAGUGGGUAGGGGUAAAAUCCUUUGAUCCAUUGAAGACCACCAGUGGCGAAGGCGGCUUGCCAGAACGCGCUCGACGGUGAGGGAUGAAAGCUGGGGGAGCAAACCGGAUUAGAUACCCGGGUAGUCCCAGCUGUAAACGAUGCAGACUCGGUGAUGGGCUAGCCUCGUGUCAGCCCAGUGCCGCAGGGAAGCCGUUAAGUCUGCCGCCUGGGGAGUACGGUCGCAAGACUGAAACUUAAAGGAAUUGGCGGGGGAGCACCACAAGGGGUGAAGCCUGCGGGUCNAUUUGGAGUCACGC
rnacentral:rRNA from 1 species